UCAUCAUCGACAAUAUUUGCAUCAUCAUCAUCUGUAUGAACAACAUGGGAUUAUCGGUAGCUCAUACUCAUUUAACUCAUAUAACUCAUACUCAUUUAACAACUCAUAUAACUCAUACUCAUAUAGCUCAUACUCAUUUAACUCAUAUAACUCAAAUUCAUUAAACAACUCAUAUAACUCAUACUCAUAUAGCCCAUACUCAUAUAACUCAUACUCAUACUCAUAUAACUCAUACUCAUAUAACAAUAUCACUAACAAUAAUCCAAUUGACGUCUCAUGGUGCAGGCAGUGGCAACCCGAAGAUAAGGAACCAUCACCGGAUCAUAGCUCGGGAGAUGUCCCUGGAGACGUGCUCCUCCUCCUCCCUGACACGAGGACGUACCACCUCCGUGGGGGCCAGCUCCCUCGGCACAGAUAAUGG
rnacentral:lncRNA from 1 species